UGAAAGACUCCCAUGUUAAAAUAACAUGAUUUUUAGAGAGACAGUUUUUGCAGGUCCCAUUGUGACAUUUGAAUGGACGAGACAGCCUUGUCAGGAUGCCUAGAAUGCUCACACAGUAAGGAAAAUGUUACUGGAAAAAGCAGAAAUACUGCCGGAGAGAUAAGCCAUUGGAAUAUUUGCCAGCCAGGGAUGAGCAAUUGUGACGAGAGCUGCUUGGAGGAGAAGAGGAAGGAUGUGGUCUUUAGUGUGAAAAAUUCAAGGGAAUGCAAAGU
rnacentral:lncRNA from 1 species